rnacentral:rRNA from 1 species
AUUGAACGCUGGCGGCAUGCCUUACACAUGCAAGUCGAACGGCAGCACGGGUGCUUGCACCUGGUGGCGUGUGGCGAACGGGUGAGUAAUACAUCGGAACAUGUCCUGUAGUGGGGGAUAGCCCGGCGAAAGCCGGAUUAAUACCGCAUACGAUCUACGGAUGAAAGCGGGGGACCUUCGGGCCUCGCGCUAUAGGGUUGGCCGAUGGCUGAUUAGCUAGUUGGUGGGGUAAAGGCCUACCAAGGCGACGAUCAGUAGCUGGUCUGAGAGGACGACCAGCCACACUGGGACUGAGGCACGGCCCAGACUCCUACGGGAGGCAGCAGUGGGGAAUUUUGGACAAUGGGCGAAAGCCUGAUCCAGCAAUGCCGCGUGUGUGAAGAAGGCCUUCGGGUUGUAAAGCACUUUUGUCCGGAAAGAAAUCCUUGGCCCUAAUACGGUCGGGGGAUGACGGUACCGGAAGAAUAAGCACCGGCUAACUACGUG